CCUACGGGAGGCAGCAGUGGGGAAUAUUGGACAAUGGGGGCAACCCUGAUCCAGCCAUGCCGCGUGUGUGAAGAAGGCCCUCGGGUUGUAAAGCACUUUCAGUGAGGAAGAACGCCUGGUGGUUAAUACCCAUCAGGAAAGACAUCACUCACAGAAGAAGCACCGGCUAACUCCGUGCCAGCAGCCGCGGUAAUACGGAGGGUGCGAGCGUUAAUCGGAAUUACUGGGCGUAAAGCGCGCGUAGGUGGCUUGAUAAGCCGGUUGUGAAAGCCCCGGGCUCAACCUGGGAACGGCAUCCGGAACUGUCGAGCUAGAGUGCAGGAGAGGAAGGUAGAAUUCCCGGUGUAGCGGUGAAAUGCGUAGAGAUCGGGAGGAAUACCAGUGGCGAAGGCGGCCUUCUGGACUGACACUGACACUGAGGUGCGAAAGCGUGGGUAGCAAACAGGAUUAGAUACCCUUGUAGUC
rnacentral:rRNA from 1 species